GGAUGAGAUGAAAAAGUAGGGGACGAGCCAGGGGAAGGAGAAGGUGAAUGGGAAGGGCCUGGUCUUCCUUGUGAAGAUGCACCACGGAUGUGACCUCCACGCUUAUACUAAUAAUUAAAAAGGUUAGACAAACAUAAGCAAAAAUAAGAACAUGUAUUAG